rnacentral:pre_miRNA from 2 species
UGAUGCUAAUAUGGCCUCUUACAAUAGCCGCUGUCACACGCACAAGAGUCUUAAAUCUAAUCUUGUGCAGUGGCCAGCAGCUGCAAUAAGUACCGAUCGAGCUAAAUCA